rnacentral:rRNA from 1 species
AUACGAAGGGGGCUAGCGUUGUUCGGAAUCACUGGGCGUAAAGCGCGCGUAGGUGGAUCAAUUAGUUGAGGGUGAAAUCCCGGGGCUCAACCUCGGAACUGCCUUCAAUACUGUUGAUCUUGAGACCUAGAGAGGUGAGUGGAAUUCCUAGUGUAGAGGUGAAAUUCGUAGAUAUUAGGAAGAACACCAGUGGCGAAGGCGGCUCACUGGCUCGGUACUGACGCUGAGGUGCGAAAGCGUGGGGAGCAAACAGGAUUAGAUACCCUAGUAGUCC